GAGACAUGGUGUGGCCCUAGGCACUGAGAAAUGUUUACCUGCUAGGGAAGCUGCAAGUCUAAGGGAAUUUGAGAGAACCUAUGGGCAGAGGUCAAAGAAGAGCAACUCAGGACAUGUUACUACUGGAGUUUUCUGUAUGUUUCAUAAUUAGAUGAAACACAGGGGCAAUAUCUGCUUUUAGCAGAUGCCAGAAAAAUAAAGAUAACAGUGGAAAUGUGUGGUGGAAUGGGGAGAACCUCAUACUUCAUCACAUUUAAUCCUUGCAGCAACCUUAUGGAGUUUGUACCUGGUAACCUUUUAAUCUUCAUCUUACAGGUGAGGAAACUGAGGCAAUAAAAGGCUAAGUUAAUUGUUGGAAGUCACACAGAAGUGGGAGAAGGGACUUCAGAGUGUGUGCUCUUCACCGAGUCUUGUUUCUGCCACGCUACCUUCCUCUCUCAGUGUUUUUCCAUAGGAAUUUCCUGAAAAGCCCCCAUCCUUAUUCCUCUGUAGUUGGGAACUUUACCUCACCCUCCUUUGUAUUCUUUUUCUGUUUUAAUUUGUUUUUUUUUUUUUUCAAGACAGUGUCUCCCUCUGUCACCCAGGCUGGAAUGUAAUGGUGGUGAUCCCGGCUCACUGCAGCCUCCACCUCCCAGGUUCAGUCGAUCCUCCUGCCUCAGCCUCCCUAGUAGCUGGGACCACAGGUGCACACCACCAUGCCCAGCUACUUUUUGUAUUUUAGUAGAGAUGGGAUUUCACCAUGUUGGCCAGGCUGGUCUCCAACUCCUGGGCUCAAGUAAUCUACCCACCUUGACCUCCCAAAGUGCUAGGAUUACAGGCAUGAGCCACCAUUCCCGGCCUCACCUUUCUUUAUAUUCUGCUCCCACUGCCUAAAAGUGGAUGGAUUACUUCUAUCUUUAUGAGCAUGGGACAUUUUUGCAAGAAGGUGACCCUGAGACUGAAGUGGAUGGUGAUCGGAGCCAGCUGCUUGGUGCUGAAGGGCCAAGAAACCUGGGCUCAAGUGUCCUGUGAUCAAGAAUUAGGACAUGAGCCAGAAGGCACAUAAACAAUCUAUGCUUUUACCAGUUUGCAAGCAAAGUCACACCUUUGUUCAAGGAAUGAUAACUGCCUUCUUAUUACAUGUACUGACUUCAUUUCCUGAACCGAUUAUGCAAUUUUGCACCUUUGAGCCUUUGAAGAGGCUGUUUCACUGCUUGGAAAUCCAUUUCUUCUCUCUUCCACCUGAUAGACUUCUACUCUUCCUUCAAGGGUCAGCCCGAGUGGCAUCCUUUUGAAGUUUCUUCUGUCUCCCUGACCAGCUGUGAGCCCUCUAGGGCCAAGACAGUGGCUUCCUAACCUGGUCUGGGCACUUUAACACUAGCACAGGACUUGGCACAAGGCUCUACAAGAAGCAUGGUAUCAGCAUCUGCUUCUGAUGAUGCCUCAGGCUGCUUCCACUCAAGUUGGAAGGAAAAAGGGAGGCUGCAUGUGCAGAGAUCACACGGAGGAGGAGGAAGCAAAAGAGAACUUUCUAGCUCGAAAUCACGUAUGGAAGCUGAGUCACCUCCGUUUCUCCUGGAGCCCGAGCUGGCUGUCACCGAGACCUUGCUCAUUAUGCAGACUCAUUCACAUGCAUACCCAAAGCAACACUUGACGGUUGUGGAAGAUUUCCAUCCUCACAGGUCAUGAAAUGCGUCUCCACUGGAAUACUGGUUGUUUAUCACCUACACUAACGAUUUACAAUGGCCUAAGUGUUGUAUUCCUAGUGACUGUAGUCUGAAUCAAAAACUCCUGCCCUGAAGCAAGGACAACUUCUUUAUUCACAUGGAGAAUGAUAGCAGGGAAAAGGCAAAAAUUUAACAAUAACGAAGAAAAAUCCCUCUUUUUCUAUGUGCAGAAUAAAAAUCUUAUUAAAAUAAGACCUUUCAAGUGCUUCCUUUCACUGUUCAUUUGGGAAGGUAUUUCACAGACGGUAUGAACACCCUGAAAUGUUGCCCGGUCUGAAAUCUUUUAUCUGCAGCUUUAGAAGAACAAAGGGUAAAACAUAUGGAAAGGAGAAACCAGCAGUAGACGGCACAGCUAAGGACAGGGACAGGAAUGCAAAUUAUGAUUCUUGUCUCAAAAUAUUUCUGGUCAGUUUCUACCCACCGAGGGCCAUCUCUGGGUGCAGGGUAGAGACUGCAUAUGGGGUGAUUAAGGGCCCUGUGAUUUCUUGACACCAACACAGAACUGCGAGCUUUGCAAGUCCUUGCCUUUUAUCAAAGACACACUUUUUUUUUUUUUUUUUGAGACGGCGUCUCGCUGUGUCGCCCAGGCUGGAGUGCAGUGGUGCGAUCUCGGCUCACUGCAAGCUGCGCCUCCCGGGUUCACGCCAUUCUCCUGCCUCAGCCUCCCGAGUAGCUGGGACUACAGGCACCCACCACCAUGCCCAGCUAAUUUUCUUUUGUAUUUUUAGUAGAGACGGGGUUUCACCGUGUUAGCC
rnacentral:lncRNA from 10 species